rnacentral:rRNA from 1 species
CGAAGCUUUGAACUCAAUUUAUUGAGUGGUAGGCGAGCGUUCCAUCGACCGUUGAAGGUUGACCCGUGAGGGCAGCUGGAGGAAAUGGAAAUGAGUAUGCUGGCAUGAGUAGCGUUAAACAUAGUGAAAUUCUAUGUCACCGUAAGCCCAAGGUUUCCUGAGUAAAGUAACUCUGCUCAGGGUUAGUCGGACCCUAAGCCGAGGCCGAAAGGCGUAGGCGAUGGAAAACGGGUAAAAUAUUCCCGUACCAGCGAUUAUUUGUUUGAACUAGGGGGGGACGCAGGAGUGAAAGGUUAGCACGGUAUUGAAUGUCCGUGUCUAAGCAUGUAGGGUGACCCGGUAGGUAAAUCCGCUGGGUCUUAUAGCCUGAGAUGUGAAUGGGAAGCGCGCCUUCGGGCAAGCCAACUGACCCUAAUCAUACUGCCAAGAAAAUCCUCUAUGUUAGAAUAAUAGCUGACCGUACCGUAAACGGACACACGUGGGCGAGGAGAGUAUCCUCAGGUGCUUCGGAGAAUCAUGGUUAAGGAACUCGGCAAAAUAGCCCCGUAACUUCGGGAGAAGGGGUGCCCUAAUUAGGUAGAGAUCUUCGCGAUCCGAGCUGAACAGGGCCGCAGUGAAGAGGCCCAAUCGACUGUUUAACAAAAACACAGGUCUAUGCUAAGUCGUAAGACGAAAUAUAUGGACUGACACCUGCCCGGUGCCGGAAGGUUAAAUGGAGAGGUUAGCUUUCGAGCGAAGCUUUGAAAUGAAGCCCCGGUAAACGGCGGCCGUAACUAUAACGGUCCUAAGGUAGCGAAAUUCCUUGUCGGGUAAGUUCCGACCUGCACGAAUGGUGUAACGAUUUGGGCACUGUCUCAACCAUGACCCGAGCGAAAUUGAAGUGUCGGUGAAGAUGCCGGCUACCCGCAGCAGGACGAAAAGACCCCGUGAACCUUUACUACAACUUAGUAUUGGAUUCUGAUUCUAUAUGUGUAGGAUAGGUGGGAGGCUUUGAAGCCUUGACGUCAGUCGAGGUGGAGCCAUCCUUGAAAUACCACCCUUAUAUUCUUAGAAUUCUAAUUUUGACCCGUGAAUCCGGGCAGAAGACAGUGCUAGGUGGGUAGUUUGACUGGGGCGGUCUCCUCCUAAAAAGUAACGGAGGAACUCAAAGGUCUUCUCAGCACGGUCGGUAAUCGUGCGUAGAGCGCAAAGGCAUAAGAAGGCUUAACUGCGAGGUCGACGGACCGAGCAGAUGCGAAAGCAGGACUUAGUGAUCUG